AUUGAACGCUGGCGGCAGGCUUAACACAUGCAAGUCGAGCGAGCGGCGGACGGGUGAGGAAUGUCUGGGAAACUGCCUGAUGGAGGGGGAUAACUACUGGAAACGGUAGCUAAUACCGCAUACCAUCAGAUGUGCCCAGAUGGGAUUAGCUAGUAGGGGGGGGAAUGGCUCACAUAGGCGACGAUCCCUAGCUGGGCUGCGAGGCUGACCAGCCAGUGUGUGACGGGGCCACGUGCCAUACUCCUACUGGAGGGAGGAGUGGGAAAUAUUGCGCAAUGGGCGCAAGCCUGAUGCAGCCAUGCCGCGUGUGUGAAGAAGGCCUUCGGGUUGUAAAGCACUUUCAGCGAGGAGGCGUUACUCGCAGAAGAAGCACCGGCUAACUCCGUGCCAGCAGCCGCGGUGAUAC
rnacentral:rRNA from 1 species